UCUCAUUACUAAUGGAAUCCAGACCAUGGAAAGGUAACAUAAUGUAUGUGUUUAAAUGAACUGCUUCUUGCAGGGAGGCUUGUGAAGAGCAUGCUGAAGAAAUGGUAAAACUAGCGUACAAGUUACUUGAGGCUUAAUCGCUAUCCGCCAUGCCCUGCUCCUCAUUUAGUGCUCGGUGUUGGUAGACACAAGGACCCCAUUGCUUUGACCAUCCUUGCUCAAGAUGAGGUUGGAGGACUUGAAGUGAAGAGGAAGAUUGAUGGAGAGUAGAUUCUUGUCAAACCUACUCCUAAUGCUUAUAUCAUCAAUGUUGCUGACAUGAUACAGGUACAAAUUUGAUACUUGUUGGUGUUGAAUGAGAUUUCUUUUUCUGAUAUGAUUGCCUUAUGUCACUUGUUACUUGAAUAUUUAUACAGGUUUGGAGCAGUGAUAAUUAUGAAACUGUGGAACAUAGAGUGAUGGUCAAUUCUGAGAAGUAAAAUUUUCAAUUCCUUUCUUCCUGAAUCCCCCAAGUUCCACUUUGGUGGAACCCCUGGAAAAGCUGACAAACAAGCAAAACCCAGCCAAGUAAAAGCUUUAUAACUUGGGAGAGUUUUUGGCAAAAAGAGCAUGCAGUGACUGUUUUUGAUGUUGAAACGAUUUUUCUUUAUCCAUGGGCAAUGAGUUUCGAUGUAUUGGGUGUAUCACAAAUGAUUCUUGUAUC
rnacentral:lncRNA from 1 species